AGCAGAGGCCGCUGGGCUGAAGCCUGCAGGGGUGCCUCCUCUGCCGGAUCUGGCCAAGCCUCCUGCCAGUCGAGGCCCUUUACCUUCCAGUCACACCAAGAACUAAAACAGGAUCAGCCAAAGGAACAAAUAAUUCUUGUCCUAAAUUGGAAACCAUAAAUCUGAGUAUCUUCAAGCAGGAGUGAAAACAUCAUGGCUAAGUCUUCAUAUCACUGAUACUUGCGGGAGUUCCCGAUCUGGCUGAACCACUGGAGAGAAGACGGUUCCCUUGAGAAAUAGCCAGCACUGUCUGCCAGUUAGAUGGGAAAAGUUAGAGGCACUUCUUGCUGCUGCCAUGUGAAGGAUGUGUUUGCUUCCUCUUUCACCAUGAUUGAAAGUUUCCUGAGGCCUCCCUACCCAUGCUGAACUUAAACAAAUCUUUAUCUGACAAAGGAAAUAGCUGGAGACGUACCUUCACAAAACCACCGCCGACGUUCCCCUGACGUGUGCUGCCCCAGUUUUAUAAAUUAGAAAUCUGGUCAUCGCAGCUUAGUUUCUAAGCAGUACCAGCUGUCUUCUCUUUCGAACACUGCAAAGAUGCUUUGAAGCUGCUUCUGUAUUGUUGGCAACAUUAGCACAGAAAGAUUUGAAGACUGUAAUAGCUGGAAAAGGUUACACAGCCUCACAUAAUUGACUAUGGCAAUAUAAAAUAUUGCCUGCUCUGUUUAGUAACAAAGUAGAUAAUGCUUUCUUUGGGAUUCGAAGGGAAACAAAGUAAAGCCGAAUUGCCUUUGCUGUGAAGCUUCCAGGUUAAAAGCUGCAAAUCUGUGCUGUAAAGCGUGUCUUCCCUGGCUGUGUAUAGUAAAUUACCAUCCCAUCCUGCUGUGUGGACAAUAUGUUUCUAGCUUAAUGAGUCAGAUGCUUUGUGUUUCCUCCUGCUAUUUAGUGCAAGGCAAAUGGGUGCAUAAAAAGAACAGAAUCCAGUGGACAUCAUUGUUUUAGUUUAUUUACCUUCAAAUAAUUCUCAGAUAAAAUAAUUAUGUGGAUUUUUAAAAAUCAAAAUCCACAAUGUUGUAUUUAUUUUCUUUGUAUAAAGAAAAAAUUCAAAAUGAAUCACAGAUAGAUAGGAGUUGCUUUGAAUUACAGCAGUAAUUGUUAAUCACAUGCUAGCUACCUCAUUCACAAGGUCUUAGCAGGUAAAUUUUUAGUGAAAAAAAAAGUUCUUUGUUAUGGUUACUGUUGCAUUAUUUAAAAUCAAAGGGCAAGUUAGACUUAAUCUUACUUUUGCUUUUUGUGGUUUAAGGUUUAUUUGUUUGCUGAGGUUUGAUAGGCAUUUAGGAAAACAUCUUUGAAAAGACUGGAUCAGUUCUUUCCAUAUUCAUUACUAUACCUUUAAAAAUGAAUGUGACAAGACACUCUUAAAACCAUUAUGGGAACUCCUCUGAGGAGCUAUUAAUAAUUCAAACAUUAUUCAAACAAUUUUUGCAAGACAAAACCACUGUGGGGCACUUUGGAGGCAGGUAUAGGGGCAAAAUAAAAAUGUUCUUAUAUUGAUAUGUAAAACCAAGAAUCACAAAAUCAAAUUCAUUCUAAGGUAGAAGAUAAACACCACUAUUGGCUACUACCAGGCUUUGCAAAAGAACAAUAAAAAGACUACUUCCCAGGUAUUUUAGAGGUAAUAGAAAUAAACCUUUAAAGAGAAGGGUAAAAUAUUUAUUGAGGAGUGCUCUGUACACUCUAGAAUUACACAGGGCUGGUGACAGUGAUUAAAUGUUCCAUGGCUACAUAGAGAGAUGCUGAGGUUUUAAUGUACAAGAUAUUGAUUACACGAUGAAUCCCAACAGUUUGUUUCCUGCAGUUGCUUGCAGCAUGGGGAGAAAUGAAAAUAACAAGUACAAUUCUGUAGGCUACAUUGCAUGCAAAAUGGAGCAGGUGAUGAGCUAAUUGAGGGAUGAAUUUCCUUCUCCCAUUCAUAAAUGUGAGAGUUGCAUAAUGAGUUAAUCUGUCUGAAAUGAGGAAGUAUAAUUAUACCAUAUAAUGAUUAAAGAUGACAAUGAAAUAUUGUGAUUUUCAGUUCAGCUUUAAGACUGGCCUCUUAUUUGGUUUUCAUUAAAUAUUUCAAUGUGCAAUGGUACCCACUAGGAUUUUCCCCACUGGCGGAAUUCAAGUGUAUAAAUUAGAGAGGGCCCUUAAUUAGAGGAAAA
ensembl:lncRNA novel transcript